rnacentral:tRNA from 1 species
GGCACGGUGGUGCAGUGGGUAGCACCGUCGUCUUACAGCACAAAGGUUAUGGGUUCGAAUCUCAGCUUAGGCC